CUGGCGCAAACCAGGGAUCCGCAGCCUCCCUCUGCCCUCAGCGCAGUCUCACACUCCGCUUGAGCGCGAGGAUCUGCACUGACUCUCUGGGUAAAUCAGUUAAUCCCUGGUUUGGGAGGAAGGAUGAUCAUAAGGUCACCUGGUGUCCCAUGAUCCUGUGUUGUUUGUUGAGACCCAGAAGCUCCCAGGUGGUUCUCAAGAGAAAGCUUUCAGUGUUGCUGCAGCAUCAGAUGGACCCUGGGGAGAGCUUGGUGGGAAUGAGCAGCUCCGCACUGUGUAGCAAGACAGAUGGGACACACAGGCCAGGUGACCGGUCUUCCUUCUGAUCUCAACAUGGAACUAAGUCUUCCUGGGACACUGGGAGAGUGAUCCCCUGCCCUCUUCCCAGGCAGCACCUAAGUACUGAGGCUCUUGACUGCGAAGGUGUUAGCCAAGUCUGUGAAGCCGGAGACUGUUGCAUAAAAGCUGUUUUAUGGCUUUUGUCUCAACUCUUCUGGAGCCAGGCUUGGCACAGUAGGAGAGUCAGAGGGAGGGUGCUCUGGGGAAGCUUGUGCCCUGCAUCCCUGUAGUCUGAAGCACCCCUUCCUCUCCCUCCCAGCUGCACAGCUGCAUGUUCCAUCUCUCCCACACUGGAUGUACAGCCGAGGAUCUGACUUCUGAGUCAGCCACACCCCUCUUCACUUAACAGAAAAAUCAGGGUCUUCGAAGAUUUAUCAAGUGAUACAAUGAACUAGGGCAAAUAUCUCACAGUGGUGAAAACCUAUUAGUUUAGAAAUGAUCGUGAUAUUAUAAUAUUGUUUAUUUACUUACUGUAACAGUUGAAGCAAGGUGUUUAUUAGAUGUGAAGAAAUAUACACAUGCAACAGACGCAAAGAGAAAGAUCCUCUGCAAAGCAGAGAGAGGCAGGACUCAUAAAGCCGA